AAUCAACGCUGGCGGCGUGCCUAACACAUGCAAGUCGAACGAGAAAGGGUAGCAAUACCUGAGUAAAGUGGCGCACGGGUGAGUAACACGUGACUAACCUACCUUUGAGUGGGGGAUAACCUAGGGAAACCUGGGCUAAUACCGCAUAAUACCUACGGGUCAAAGCAGCAAUGCGCUGAAAGAGGGGGUCGCGGCCGAUUAGCUAGUUGGCGGGGUAAUGGCCCACCAAGGCGAUGAUCGGUAUCCGGCCUGAGAGGGCGCACGGACACACUGGAACUGAAACACGGUCCAGACUCCUACGGGAGGCAGCAGUGGGGAAUUUUGCGCAAUGGGGGAAACCCUGACGCAGCAACGCCGCGUGGGGAG
rnacentral:rRNA from 1 species